rnacentral:rRNA from 1 species
UCGAGGGGCAGCAUGGUCUUAGCUUGCUAAGGCUGAUGGCGACCGGCGCACGGGUGAGUAACACGUAUCCAACCUGCCGUCUACUCUUGGCCAGCCUUCUGAAAGGAAGAUUAAUCCAGGAUGGCAUCAUGAGUUCACAUGUCCGCAUGAUUAAAGGUAUUUUCCGGUAGACGAUGGGGAUGCGUUCCAUUAGAUAGUAGGCGGGGUAACGGCCCACCUAGUCAACGAUGGAUAGGGGUUCUGAGAGGAAGGUCCCCCACAUUGGAACUGAGACACGGUCCAAACUCCUACGGGAGGCAGCAGUGAGGAAUAUUGGUCAAUGGGCGAUGGCCUGAACCAGCCAAGUAGCGUGAAGGAUGACUGCCCUAUGGGUUGUAAACUUCUUUUAUAAAGGAAUAAAGUCGGGUAUGCAUACCCGUUUGCAUGUACUUUAUGAAUAAGGAUCGGCUAACUCCGUGCCAGCAGCCGCGGUAAUACGGAGGAUCCGAGCGUUAUCCGGAUUUAUUGGGUUUAAAGGGAGCGUAGAUGGAUGUUUAAGUCAGUUGUGAAAGUUUGCGGCUCAACCGUAAAAUUGCAGUUGAUACUGGAUGUCUUGAGUGCAGUUGAGGCAGGCGGAAUUCGUGGUGUAGCGGUGAAAUGCUUAGAUAUCACGAAGAACUCCGAUUGCGAAGGCAGCCUGCUAAGCUGCAACUGACAUUGAGGCUCG